rnacentral:rRNA from 1 species
AUUGAACGCUGGCGGCAUGCCUUACACAUGCAAGUCGAACGGCAGCACGGGUGCAAUCCUGGUGGCGAGUGGCGAACGGGUGAGUAAUAUAUCGGAACGUGCCCAGUCGUGGGGGAUAACGUAGCGAAGGCUACGCUAAUACCGCAUACGAUCUAUGGAUGAAAGCGGGGGAUCGCAAGACCUCGCGCGAUUGGAGCGGCCGAUAUCAGAUUAGGUAGUUGGUGAGGUAAAGGCUCACCAAGCCGACGAUCUGUAGCUGGUCUGAGAGGACGACCAGCCACACUGGGACUGAGACACGGCCCAGACUCCUACGGGAGGCAGCAGUGGGGAAUUUUGGACAAUGGGCGCAAGCCUGAUCCAGCAAUGCCGCGUGCAGGAUG